GGCGGAAUGGCCGAGUGGUCUAAGGCGGAGGAUUUAAGCUCCUCUUCUCGUGAGAGAGCGUGGGUUCGAACCCCACUUCCGUCA
rnacentral:tRNA from 2 species